AACAGGAGGGCAGCGGCUGACCAGAGGAAGUGUUGCACUUUCUGGCCAAACCUGUGAAUUUGUGAAGCAUGGGCUUGGUUUUGGAUCAGGAAAAGCCGAGUGUCGGUGACAGAUUGAGAGAGAAGGAGUAAAACCCAGCAUUGUGUUUUAAAGCAGCCCAGUGGAACAAAGGGAUCUCUGGUGAAAUCCCUCCAGUGAACUGCACAACAAAAGCUGCCAUCCCCAUCCCAGGUGCUCCUUCCCACUGGCAAACAGCCUAAGGAGGAGCUGUGGAGAGAUCUCCUUUUGGCAGCUGGAUGAGAAGGGAAUGCCAGGGCAAAGGAGGGAUUACCAAGUUGUGUGUUACACAUCUCACCACUGCAACAGGUGGCCCUUCCCAAACAAAGACAAGCAGUCAGGAUACAUUCCUUGAGGAGUUGGGCCUAGCAAUAUGGCAGCGCACGGGCGAUGGGAAAUCUUGCAGAAUGCUGCUGCUGAGCUCCCAGGGCACACAAUACGUGUGGCUGUGCGGGAUGUGGCUGUUCCUGCAGGACCUCAAGAGCUCUCUGGCUUCUGGGGUGGGCUCCUAAAUCCCGUUUUGCCUCCAACAUGAAAGUUAUCCUGGUUUUUCAAAGAUGCUCCUCCCCUCCAAGAUGGAUUUUGAGUGCUGAAAGCUGGACAUUUUUAAGAUUCGAUAGAAGAGCUGAGACUUCCAGGACUAUUCUGCUCCAUCCAGGAACUCCAGACGUCCCAGCCAUGUAUCCAGCAGUCAGGAAGGAGGUUGAAAGGACAAGGAGAAGGGAAGAACUGAAAAUAGUCCACAGUGAAUUCCUGGAGGAGAUGGGAAAAGAUCUGUGGACUGCAGGCCCUCAAUCUCUGAAUUACAACCUCUCCUUUACAGCUCAGGUUCCCAAAAUGUCCCUAACCUUUCUGCAUGUUUCUGAAGUUGAAUUUGGGUUCAGCAGUUUAGGCUCUAAUUGAACAGCCUCAACAGGGCAUCAGAUGGGGAUGACAAAAGCAGUCUGGACACAGCAGCUCUCUGCCAAGGACCUCGAUCACUCCCAGGGCACGGUGAGCGUUGCUGUGGGGGUUCUGGAUUAUGGGCAAGCAAGGUAAGAAGUGAUUUUAUCACUGACUUGAUGUGGAACUGGCCAGUGGUCUACAAAAGAGCAAGGCUCAAAUUUUGGUUGUCAGGCUCCUCACUUUGUGGGGUGAUGUUCUGGAAAUAAUCCCAGUCGUGACACCUCUGCCCAGUUUUGCUGUCCUUGGAUGUGCCCCCACACUGUGAAUUUGUACCAUUCCCCACAUCAUUAGAAUCCUUCACUUGUGUUAGUAAAUGCUUUUUACUCCCCUGAAGGCAUUUUAUUAAUUUGUAAACUAUUUUCAUGUAUUCUGUCCCUAUAGCUGAGCUGUGUUAUUUUAAAGAUAUUUCUUAAGUAAUCUCUGUACAGUUUGCCUGGAGUGAAGUUAUUGACUUGUCUCAAAAAGGCCUUAAGGUUUUAUAGUUCAUGCUUAAGUCCCUAAAGCUUCCUCCCUGGCUGAACAUUCCUUCUCCUAUGAAUUGCUAAUUCCAAUUGAUCUGAGGAAAAAAAAAUUAGUAAUAGUUUGUAUUUUCUCUGCUUUCUGCUCCAACUGUGCACCUACCAAGGUCUCUUCUUGCUUUGAUCCCUUCUCUGUGACUAAAUUCAUUCUUCCUUUCUGUUUUCCAGCUUCUCUCUGCAAACUUGCUCUCACUGCAUUUCUACAAGAACUUUUCCUGCAAACCAGGUCCCUGAGAGGAUCAGUGAGGGGGAGACCAAUUUAUUUAUAUUUAUUUAUAAACGAGCUGCCGAGACUUGGCCCCUUUUGAAACAUAAGAACAAUUUUCAGGCCUCUUUCAGUUGUGGUUAUUUCACUCAAAAAAAAAACACACCAACAAAACAAAAACCAACCCAACCACAGAACAAUAGAGAAAUAUGAGGAGUUGUGGAAACCCCUCAAACAUUCUCUGUUUAGAUUUUAAAUUCCUGAUGGUCACAGGGCCAGGUGAUGCUGCCAGUUGUGUUUUCUUCUGGAGUGCCUGGCUUGGGUGAUCCCAAAGCACCAGGCUGAGUUAAUUGCUGUGAUCAAACUAGAAUGACACCUCUGGUUUGGUUUUUUGUUUUUUGGGUUUUUUUUGUGCCAGCCCGGAGGCCCUUAAGGUUUUGGAAUUUGAGCCUUUGAAAAACAAGGUUACUGGACUCUAGUAAAUGAAGUGUCUGGAUGUCAGUGAUGAUUCAUAAAAGCAAUUAAAAAAGGAAAGUGCUUUUCCUCUGAGUGUAAUGGCUUGAAGAUGCCCUAAAGUGAGUGUGUGCUGCUGUUUCCAGCAUAACACUUAUCCUGUGGUUCUGCUGAUCUAAACCCAACGUUUUUUCACGCAGUCACAAAACAGUCAGGGUUGGAAGGGACCUCUGGGGUCACUCAGUCCAACCCCCCUGCCCAGGCAGGGUUACCUGGAGCAGGUGACACAGGGACAUGGGGUUGGGAUGUCUCCAGAGAGGGAGACUCCACGCCCUCCCUGGGCAGCUGUUCCAGUGCUCUGCCACCCUAAAUUCUUCCCCAUGUUGGGAUGGAACUUGUUGUGUUUUACUUUAUGGCCACUGCUCCUCGUCCUGUUGUUGGGCACCCCUGAAAAGAGUCUGGCACCACCCUCUUGGCACCCACCUUGGAGAUAUUUGUAUGAAUUUGACAGCUGAAUCUUUCUUAUUUGGUUUAUAUUUCAAUGUGAUUCACGUUUCUUCCUUCUUAAAUUUGAGGAAAAAAAUCAACUGAGGAUGUAAUAUUUUCCAUGGGAGAAACGGGGUUGUUGCAACAUAAAUGUUGGAGGCAACAGAGGAUUGAAAUUCAUCAAAUAUGAUUUUCUUCCCCCCCCUCCCCCAGUGCUACUCUCUGGCAUCUCUGAGCUGCCCCAAACGCAAGACACCUCAUUUGUACAGCUUUAAAUUGCUUUUCAGUGAGCAAGAGUGAACUCUGUUAAGACAUGAUUAAGGUUAUUGUUGUGCACAAAGAUCCAUCAGCGUGGCCACGUUACCUGUGCAAGAAGCAGACCCUGAGCCAGGGCCCUACAAGCUUCCUACGUGGCUUUUCAAGCCAUCCCAACCAACCUGUUACCCAUCAGGGAUGGUUAUUAGGCUGUUCUAGAGCAGGCACUUCCAGUCUUACUUCCUUCUCCCAGUGGAUGCCUCUUGCUUCUCUUGAACAUACUGAAGUUGGGGCUUCCAUUUGCUUUGCCCUCACAUCCUGCCCUUGGUCAUCCCUUGCAUACAAUGCUAAGGGAAGCAAAAUAGUUUACUGAUUUAUCAUGGAUCAUUAGAUGGAGUAACUAUUCUUAAAACAUCCCCAGUAUGGAUACAAUAAUUAGGGAUGUGCUUUUGUUCACACUGCCAGCCUCUACCCUCUUGUACAGUACCCUUGGGUACUAAAUAAUUACCCACUUUGUGUGGUUAUCUAGCUCACUAAUUACCCACAAAAAUUGGGGUCAGGUGUUAACUGCUUGAAAUAAGUAUCCUCCAAAGGCUUGGUUAAAUCGUGUAAAGAAAUUAUGUGUUUGCUACAAAACUUUAAAAAAUUAAACUUUUUUUUUUGGAAGGAAGAUAAGAGAAGUGGAAGGAGACAAUGGAUGCGAAAUGUUCUGUGUGAUGGCAGAAUAUCGCUGUGAUGGUGAGGGAAUCUAAAGGCAGUGAAAGGAUGGUUGGCAGAUACAGCCUCUGAUCCAGUCUACUUUUCCCAAAGAUUAGAUCCUUCAGUACACAGGGUUGGAUUCUUCCCCUAUCUAGGCUGAUGCCAAUCAGGAUUAUGCUGGUAUAAAUAAGAAAAUUUGUAUCUGUGGAUUCCCAGACUGACUUUGCUGCAUAAUCCCACCUCUUCCAUCACCCAGGGACUUCUGCAUUGCACCCAAUAAUUUAAUUAUGUAUUGUAUAUUUAUUUCCAUAUGUUUAUUUUAGCUGUGUGCAUGCAGAAUUUCAUUCUGAGGCUGCUGCUCAUAAAAUGCAGUUUGCUUUGAGCAAUAAUUUGAUUCCUGUGCUCAGGGAGUUACCCCAGUGAGUCAAAGAUUUCUAGAUAGCCCCACCCUCCCCAACUUCCCGAACACUUACACUGCAGCCACUUUCCCUUUGCCAGACCCACACAAGAUGUCUAACUAGCCAAAACCCCAAGAGGCAAUCCCAGUCUCCUGCCUCCCCUGUUUCAGCCCCAGAAAACUGGGAAAUAAAGCCACAGAAACCCUAAAGCCCUUGAAAUACCCGGCACGUGUAGCAGAGGGAUGUUUAAUAGCCCGUCUUCCUAACCUGGUUUCUUGCAUAGGUGCUCUCUGUCUUCAGUACAAAGGGAACAGAUUUCAGUGGGAGCUGAGAAGGUGUUUCUAAAAAUCCCUUGGACCCAUCCCAGGGUCUCUGGAUGCCCGGAUACCUUUAAUUCCUCAGCGUCUCUGCAGUGCACAGCCUAACAAAGAGGCUGCCUUUAUUUAUCGCUGGAUUUUGUGGUAGGUGCUUCACAGCCAGAAGCACCUUCUGUUCCUACAAGCACCUUUUGGAGCCUGUGUGGAUUCAGGUAUUAGAAAUCACCAGCCUGAAAGCUUGGGCAAACUGGGGGGGUGGGGUGGGGGGGGUGUCUCAGGAAGGCCCCCAGGACGAGGUGUGUGCUCGCCUCGGGGGUACCUGCAUUGUGUGUGUGGAGCAUCCCUGGGAAACGCAGGGAUCAGCCUCCUAAAGCACAAUGCAGAUUUAGUCGUCAUCUUUGUCUCUCCCCCCUCCCCGCUCUGCUCCCCGCUGAUGUUAACUGUCUGUAUUAUUAUUUAUUGUUAUCAGGGGAUUUGGUUUGAUCAAUGAA